rnacentral:rRNA from 1 species
GACGAACGCUGGCGGCGUGCUUAACACAUGCAAGUCGAACGGAAAGGCCCUGCUUUUGUGGGGUGCUCGAGUGGCGAACGGGUGAGUAACACGUGAGUAACCUGCCCUUGACUUUGGGAUAACUUCAGGAAACUGGGGCUAAUACCGGAUAGGAGCUCCUGCUGCAUGGUGGGGGUUGGAAAGUUUCGGCGGUUGGGGAUGGACUCGCGGCUUAUCAGCUUGUUGGUGGGGUAGAGGCUUACCAAGGCUUUGACGGGUAGCCGGCCUGAGAGGGUGACCGGCAACAUUGGGAAUGAGAUACGGCCCAGACUCCUACGGGAGGCAGCAGUGGGGAAUAUGGCACAAUGGGCGGAGGCCUGAUGCAGCACCGCCGCGUGCGGGAUGACGGCUUUCGGGUUGUAACCCGCUUCCGCCUGUGACGAAGCGUGAGUGACGGUAAUGGGUAAAGAAGCACCGGCUAACUACGUG